rnacentral:rRNA from 1 species
GUGGGGAAUAUUGGACAAUGGGCGCAAGCCUGAUCCAGCCAUGCCGCGUGAGUGAUGAAGGCCUUAGGGUUGUAAAGCUCUUUCAGUGGGGACGAUAAUGACGGUACCCACAGAAGAAGCCCCGGCUAACUUCGUGCCAGCAGCCGCGGUAAUACGAAGGGGGCUAGCGUUGUUCGGAUUUACUGGGCGUAAAGCGCACGUAGGCGGAUCGUUAAGUCGGGGGUGAAAUCCUGGAGCUCAACUCCAGAACUGCCGUCGAUACUGGCGAUCUUGAGUCCGGAAGAGGUGGGUGAAACUCCUAGUGUAGAGGGGGAAUUCGUAGAUAUUAGGAAGAACACCAGUGGCGAAGGCGGGUCACUGGUCCGGUACUGACGCUGAGGUGCGAAAGCGUGGGGAGCAAACAGGAUUAGAAACCCCAGUAGUCC